UACGGGGGGGGCAAGCGUUGUUCGGAAUUACUGGGCGUAAAGGGCUCGUAGGCGGCCAACUAAGUCAGACGUGAAAUCCCUCGGCUUAACCGGGGAACUGCAUCUGAUACUGGAUGGCUUGAGAUUGGGAGAGGGAUGCGGAAUUCCAGGUGUAGCGGUGAGAUGCGUAGAUAUCUGGAGGAACACCGGUGGCGAAGGCGGCAUCCUGGACCAACACUGACGCUGAGGAGCGAAAGCCAGGGGAGCAAACGGG
rnacentral:rRNA from 1 species